CAAGUUUGAGAAAGAAAAAGGAGGUAGAGAGAGAGUGGGAGAGAAAGAGAGGUAAAGUCACCAUUGAUUGAUGUUUUCUUGGGUGAGAUCUUUGGGUUAAUCUUCGAAGAAGAAGAAAUGGUUCUUAGCUAAGGAUCUAUUGGUUAGUGUGGUGAAGAUUGAUUGAUCAAUUUCCACAUCUCUUCAAAAGGGGAAAAAUCUAGGGUUUGUUCAAACCUUAGUACGGCUCGGAUUUUUCAAGUCUCCCCCAACAGCAAGCCAGUCUAGGGAUGCUGCUGUUUGCAAUGUGGAUGAUACUGUAACAGAUUGGACAUGCUUCAAUGCCUUUAAACUCCUUGCCAAAGUUGUUCUUCCAAGUCCGUAUUGCUUUAGCAAAGGAACCAUUCUGCAAUUUCAUAAGUACAGCUAAUCAGCUUUUUUCCUCACAGAAAAAAAAAACCCUCAAAAUUUAAAGCUGGAGACAUUCUUUUAUUGAAAGGUGUCUAGAUACGAGAAUUCAUAGAGCUCAGUAACAGAUACCUGAGUACGAACAAAUGCAAGCAUAGAGAACAACUAUUUCCUUGGUUUUAAUUCGCUAAUGCCAGGACUUUUAGGGCAUUCAACACCCACGGGCUUCAAUGUGCUUAAAAUCUUUCUUCUUUGAUAUACGAAUUGCACCAGACUGCAACGGAAUGUGCUCAAAAAAAACAGAUGCAAGACGCUCCACAUUAGAAACAUCGCCAGCAGCAAAAAGGUUACACUCAGAAAAGUUAGUGCACAGGGCAGAAGCAAACUCAAACCACAGCAGAUUAUGGGAUUCACCAGACUUGAAAACUGUUUCGUCACACUACUUUGAAAUAGUAUAUGAAGAUUUCAAUUUUUCAAACAAUCUUUGCGGGGUUCGGUGAAUAAGGAAACAAACUCUACGCAGUGAUCUUUACUGGAAAAGCAAAAUACCUUGAGCUAUUGCAAAUGCUAAACCGUCUCAACUAAUUGUCUGCUUAGACAAUGAUCACUACUGUAAAAGCAUAAUAAAGCAAGGUCCAACAAAUGCUGCAACCUUUUCAUGAAAAAUUCUAAUUAAUUUUGUUAAAA